AUUGAACGCUGGCGGCAUGCUUUACACAUGCAAGUCGAACGGUAACAGGCCUUCGGGUGCUGACGAGUGGCGAACGGGUGAGUAAUGCAUCGGAACGUACCCAGAGGUGGGGGAUAACGCAGCGAAAGCUGUGCUAAUACCGCAUGUGAUCUGAGGAUGAAAGCGGGGGACCGAGCAGCAAUGUGUGGCCUCGCGCCUUUGGAGCGGCCGAUGUCGGAUUAGCUAGUUGGUGGGGUAAAGGCCUACCAAGGCGACGAUCCGUAGCUGGUCUGAGAGGACGACCAGCCACACUGGGACUGAGACACGGCCCAGACUCCUACGGGAGGCAGCAGUGGGGAAUUUUGGACAAUGGGCGCAAGCCUGAUCCAGCAAUGCCGCGUGCGGGAAGAAGGCCUUCGGGUUGUAAACCGCUUUUGGCAGGAACGAAACGGUGUCCGCUAAUACCGGGCGCUAAUGACGGUACCUGCAGAAUAAGCACCGGCUAACUACGUG
rnacentral:rRNA from 1 species